rnacentral:tRNA from 1 species
GGGCUCGUAGUUCAGUUGGCUAGAACGCUACUUUUGCAAGGUAGAUAUCGUGGGUUCGAGUCCCACCGUGGUCCA